CCUACGGGAGGCAGCAGUGGGGAAUAUUGGACAAUGGGCGAAAGCCUGAUCCAGCCAUGCCGCGUGUGUGAAGAAGGCCUUCGGGUUGUAAAGCACUUUCAGUGGGGAAGAAAGCCUUGGGGCUAAUACCCUCGAGGAAGGACAUCACCCACAGAAGAAGCACCGGCUAACUCCGUGCCAGCAGCCGCGGUAAUACGGAGGGUGCGAGCGUUAAUCGGAAUUACUGGGCGUAAAGCGCGCGUAGGCGGUCUGAUAAGCCGGUUGUGAAAGCCCCGGGCUCAACCUGGGAACGGCAUCCGGAACUGUCAGGCUAGAGUGCAGGAGAGGAAGGUAGAAUUCCCGGUGUAGCGGUGAAAUGCGUAGGGAUCGGGAGGAAUACCAGUGGCGAAGGCGGCCUUCUGGACUGACACUGACGCUGAGGUGCGAAAGCGUGGGUAGCAAACAGGAUUAGAUACCCUAGUAGUC
rnacentral:rRNA from 1 species